rnacentral:pre_miRNA from 1 species
AGCUUUCUGUGUCCGUGUAGAGAUUUCGUUAGACACCAACCCAAUAGGGUUGAUCAGACAUUCAAGAUAAGUUGUUGACGCG